UGGUUACUGCCAGUAAACGGAUCUCGUCACAGCUGAAAAUACAGGCACACAUGCACAGAAGCCAUUCACUGGGCAUGAAAUUGUAAUAUUUCAUCCGCUUUGUUUUUGCUUUAAAAUAAGAAGACUGAUUGCAAGUCAUACGCUCCUGUGAAAUUCACAGGGUCAUGUGACCCUCUCAGCCAAUAACAGAACUCCAGAAGUAAUGCCAACAGCCUUCUUGGAUAAAUAAUUCAUUGUUUCCUGUUAGUGACUGCUGCUGUGGGAAUGGCUGGGAUUUUACAAUGACAGAGAUCACAAAGGAUUAUGAGCUCUCCAUACAAAGAAGAAACUGGCGAAGGGACUGAGGGAUAUGGGGAAAGUCUGCUUCUCACACAAACAACUUCAGAAAAAGCACUAUGAAGAGAGGAACUAGAAACAUUGUUGAAAGGAUUUUAUAUCAGAAGUCUGAAUACAUCCUGCACAGGAAGGAAGAUAUUAAGGUUCCAAAUCAACAGUCACAUCAGUUUCUAAAUCUGUGGACAGCAUUGCCUUCUGAGGGUGGAAAUACUGAAGGUUUUGAGGGGAAGGCAGGAUUGAUACACAAGGAUAGACCCUCUGCUGGAAAGCACAGAGACCCAUCAUUUCAUGCUGCUAGGGAGCAUAUUCUUAAAGAUGGGGAAACUAUUGUAGUAAAUAUUAUUCUUUCUCUGGUUCUCUUUGUGACCAUACUAUGCAGGCAUGUUGUUUUUACUCUGAUUUUACCAUUUUCUCAUAAGUGGCAUCAGCAGAAAGAACUCAUGACCUGCUCUGAAAACACAAGUCUCUACCACUUGAGCUAAAAUUAAAGAAGAAGCUCCAUUGUCUGUCCACUGGAGAAAGACUUAUAACAUUUUGGGGGGCCUGCAACAUGAUCAAAAGAAAGUUUGAAAAUCCCUUAUGUGAACUCAAAAACUUCAAAACCCACACAUGCGCCGAAGAAGUACAUGCAUAACUGUUUGAUACCGAAUUGUUUCUAUAGCAAGCUUUAUUGCAAAGUAUUUUGGUAUUCCAGACAGUAGAGUACAUACUGCAAAGCACACAAUAAAACAUGAGGUGAGAGGUAAUAAUCA
rnacentral:lncRNA from 1 species